rnacentral:rRNA from 1 species
UUGGAGGGCAAGUCUGGUGCCAGCAGCCGCGGUAAUUCCAGCUCCAAUAGCGUAUAUUAAAGUUGUUGCAGUUAAAAAGCUCGUAGUUGAAUUUCGGGAUUAGCAGGUCGGUCGUGCCACUGGUACGUACUGGUCUUGCUGAUUUCUCCCUCUUGACGAGCCGUAAUGCCAUUAAUUUGGUGUUGCGGGGAAUCAGGACUGUUACUUUGAAAAAAUUAGAGUGUUUAAAGCAGGCAUGCGCUUGAAUACAUUAGCAUGGAAUAAUGAAAUAGGACGUUCGAUCUUAUUUUGUUGGUUUCUAGGAUUGACGUAAUGAUUAAUAGGGAUAGUUGGGGGCAUUAGUAUUCAAUUGUCAGAGGUGAAAUUCUCGGAUUUAUUGAAGACUAACUACUGCGAAAGCAUUUGCCAAGGAUGUUUUCAUUAAUCAAGAACGAAAGUUAGGGGAUCGAAGACGAUCAGAUACCGUCGUAGUCUUAACCAUAAACUAUGCCGACUAGGGAUCGGAUGAUGUUAAUUUUUUAAUGACUCAUUCGGCGCCUUACGGGAAAC